UCGCCAGCCACCCCCACCUCCGCCUCCUGAACCCUCCUUGCCGCGUUCUUCCCGCCCCGCACCGUUCUCCUCGCGUUUCUGGGGAGUCAGAAGCAAACCACGAGAAAAUGCCUUCGCGAGGAGCCUCCCUACACCCGCCCAGUGACUGAAACAAAAGCGCAGGGAGGAGGGAGGUGGGAGAGGAGGCGGGAGGAAGGUUUAGAAAGAGGAUGGGGACAGCGGUAAGGGUACAGUGGCAAGGAGUAAGGAAUAUUCCCAGGGUCAGCUCCGUUUCAUGACUGGAAGGGAUAAGCUGGGAAUUGGUUGCACAGCCGUGGCCCGGGCGGGAUUCCCACGUGCGGGGAGCCCCAGGUCUGUAAACACCCUCAGCAGAACGCAGUUACCUUUCCUGGAUUUGUUUUGGCCUCAUUCAUAUUUCUUUUGGACACCUUUCUUCUUUUUUCUCUUCUUAUUUCACCUGUGGGUUUUCUACUGAACACCGGCUAAGCUUGGACGAGGCGUGUUUUCCCACGAUCCCUCCUCGUGGGUCACAUGGUGGGAUUUAGCUUCAGGUGUACGCAGCGCAGUGUGGAGCGGCAGCUGAGAGCAGGUGCGUGUCUGCGGGGGUUCCUCGUCAGCAGGGCUGGCCACCGCCCAGCUCUCGUGCCACGUGGAAGGCAGAGCCACCCCCUGUCCUCCCCAUCUCCUUUGCUGCUGCCACUGCUCCAUCCUCAUCAGCUAGAGCACUGGCCUCCAAAAACAGCCUCCCCUGGAGAAGAAGAAGAAGAGGAUAAUAGAAUUUCCAUUUUCUGUUAUUUUUUA